UACGUAGGAGGCAAGCGUUGUCCGGAAUUACUGGGCGUAAAGCGCGUGUAGGUGGUGGGACAGUCUGCUGUGAAAGCGCCUGGCUUAACCGGGCGAGGUCGGGCGGAAACUGUCCGACUAGAGGACGGUAGAGGGGGGUGGAAUUCCCGGGUGUACGUGGUGAAUGACGUAGAGAUCGGAAAGAACGAACCAACGGCCGGAAGCAACUCUGCUGGGCCGACACUGACACUGAGAGACGAAAGCUAGGGGAGCGAAUGGG
rnacentral:rRNA from 1 species